rnacentral:lncRNA from 1 species
AUUUAAUUUCAUUUUUUCCUUAUUUCUCUACCUAAACCUACAGAAAUAUGCUACUUCCAGAUUGAACAUCUUUUUCAAUCCUAGUAAAAUAUGACAAAGUACAGAGAAGCCAAAAAAAUUUUGGAACAUCAAGCUCAUCAGAAAUGCUGCUUAUUGGCUGGGUGCGGUGGCUCACGCCUGUAAUCCCAGCAUUUGGGAGGCCAAGACUAACACCACAUCUACAGACACUGACCCUAGAUCACACCUCCAGGAGACAGGAGACGACAUCUUAACACUUUUCACCAUGCAUCCUCCUCUUGAAUCAGAGUGGACUAUUUGUAACUUUCACCAGAAAGCUGAACAAACCACCAACAGGAAUAAAGCAGAAAGAACUGCAUUUCAUUCCACAGACAGGAC